AUGCAAUCUCUCAUCGUUGCUAUUAUAUAUCAUAUAACAGCAGCACGAAUGAUUCACACGACUCAAAGCUCUAUUGUGAUGGACUGCAACAGCAGCAUGGAUUCGGUACAGCAGAGGACAAGAAGGUCUUCAUGCCAGGCUCUAGGGCUGGGCGAGAGAACUUCUACUCUCGGUCGUGGUUUUAGUUUCCAUUCUAGCUCUCAGGUCAAGGCUGCAUCACGUAAGAACUGGUUCUGGUUGCUUCAUGCUAUAAAAAUGGGGCAGGGGGGCGACCCCCUUUCAUUCAAAAGAAGAGAAGGGCUUCAUUUCAUUCUCUUCCGUUGUUGGUUGUGCAACAGAGGCGGCUACGAAAUCGCCAUGGUGCAUGAGCUAAUCCAGUAUCUCACCAGGGUGCCCUCUCUCUCUCUCUCUCUCUCUAGGAGAAAGAGUUUUGGUCUUUUUGCUCCUACUCUAGCUAGCUGCAUAUAUACACAGUGUCGUUGUACCACGUGUGCACGCCCAUCGUAA
rnacentral:rRNA from 1 species